rnacentral:rRNA from 1 species
GAUGAACGCUGGCGGCGUGCCUAAUACAUGCAAGUCGAGCGAACAGACGAGGAGCUUGCUCCUCUGACGUUAGCGGCGGACGGGUGAGUAACACGUGGAUAACCUACCUAUAAGACUGGGAUAACUUCGGGAAACCGGAGCUAAUACCGGAUAACAUGUUGAACCGCAUGGUUCAACAGUGAAAGACGGUCUUGCUGUCACUUAUAGAUGGAUCCGCGCCGCAUUAGCUAGUUGGUAAGGUAACGGCUUACCAAGGCAACGAUGCGUAGCCGACCUGAGAGGGUGAUCGGCCACACGGGAACUGAGACACGGUCCAGACUCCUACGGGAGGAAGCAGUAGGGAAUCUUACGCGAUGGGGGAAAGCCUGACAGAGCAACGCCGCGUGAGUGAAGAAGGUCUUCGGAUCGGAAAACUCUGUUGUUAGGAAAGAACAAAUGUGUAAGUAACUAUGAACGUAAUGACGGUACCUGAACAAAAAGCCACGGCUAACUACGUG